rnacentral:rRNA from 1 species
UACGUAGGGCGCAAGCGUUGUCCGGAAUUAUUGGGCGUAAAGAGCUCGUAGGCGGUUUGUCACGUCGGGUGUGAAAGCCCGGGGCUUAACCCCGGGUCUGCAUUCGAUACGGGCAGACUAGAGUGUGGUAGGGGAGAUCGGAAUUCCUGGUGUAGCGGUGAAAUGCGCAGAUAUCAGGAGGAACACCGAUGGCGAAGGCAGGUCUCUGGGCCACUACUGACGCUGAGAAGCGAGAGCAUGGGGAGCGAACAGG